rnacentral:lncRNA from 1 species
UCUAUGAUUGUGAACACUCACUAAACUAUUGCAUGCCUAGAAGUAGAUGUUGGACAAGGAAGACAACAUAAUGAAUUGUGUUUGCUUGGCUCUGAACAAUGUUAUAUGAUUAGAGAUCCCUUAGCAUGUGACGAUUGCUUCCACCUCAUAUUAGCCAAAACUUCCGCACCAAGUAGAGAUACUACUUGUGCAUCCAUAAACCUUCAAACCAGUUUUGCCAUGAGUGUCCACCAUACCUACCUAUGGAUUGAAUAAGAUCCCUCAAGUAAGUUGUCAUCAGUGCAAGCAAUAAAAAUUUCUCUCUAAUAUGUACGAUCCAUUAGUGUGUGGAAAAUAAGCUUUAUACGAACCUAUGAUGAGGAAGACAUAAAAGCGACAGACUGCAUAAUAAAGUUCUUUAUAACAGGAGGCAAUAUAAAGUGAUGUUCCACCGCACUAAGAGGACACGCAUCCAAACCUCAAAAGCGCAUGACAACCUCUGCUUCCCUCUACGAAGGGCCUAUCUUGUACCUUUACUUUUUGCCCUUGAAAGAGUCAUGGUCAUCUUCACCAAUUCCUUAUUUUGCCUUUGUCUUGGCUACCGUCAUAUGCUUGGGAAAGAUCUAUAUUCAUAUGUCAACUUGGAGGUAGGCAUUCAUGAAUUAUUAUUGUUGACAUUACCCUUGAGGUAAGCAGUUGGGAGGCAAAACUAUAAGCCCCUAUCUUUCUCUGUGUUCAGUUGAAACUUUGAUCUCAUGAGUACCACGUGAGUUGUAGCAAUUGUAGAGAACGAAAGAAUGAUUGAGUAUGUGGAUUUGCUUUACAAGCACUUACUUGACUCUUUCUGAUGUUGUGAUAAAUUGCAAUUGCUUCAAUGACUAAAGGAUAUCGGUUGUUACUUCUCGGUAAGGUUCUUGAUCCAUGCUUUACUUUGUGAAGGAAUUAUCACAUUAGCAUGAGAGAUUAUAUGUUGGUAUGCUGUUCUGAUCAUGAUCAUGAUGCAUGCAUGUUCGUAUCUUGUUUUGUCGACACCUCUCUCCCUAAACAUGUGGACAUAUUUAUUGAGCUCGGCUUUCGCUUGAGGACAAGCGAGGUCUAAGCUUGGGGAGUUGAUACGUCCAUUUUGUAUCAUGUUUUCAGGUUGAUAUUUAUCGCUUCUUUGGCUGUUAUUUCACUUCACGGUACUAUUCUUAUGCCUUUUCUCUCUUAUUUUGCAAGGCUUACAUGAAGAGGGAGAAUACCGGCAACUGGAAUUCUGGACUAAAAGUGGAGCAAAGUUGAGAUACCUAUUCUGCACAACUCCAAACGCCGUGAAAAUCAAUGGAGAUUUUUUCCGAAUAUAUAAAAAAUACUGGGCCGAAGAAGUACCGGAGGAGGGCCAAGGGGUGGCCACAAGCCUGCACGGCGCGGCCACCCCCCAGGCCGCGCCAUGGGGGCUUGUGGCCACCCUGUUGGCCCACUUGCCCCCCUCUUUUGCUAUAUGGAGGGUUUCGUCCAGGAAAAAAUCAGAAGGAAGCAUUUUCGUGGUUUCGCCGCCGCCACGAGGCGGAAUUUGAGACGAACCAAUCUAGAGCUCNNNNNNNNNNNNNNNNNNNNNNNNNNNNNNNNNNNNNNNNNNNNNNNNNNNNNNNNNNNNNNNNNNNNNNNNNNNNNNNNNNNNNNNNNNNNNNNNNNNNGGGACCAUCGGGAGGGGUGUCACGCCCCAAGGGGUCUCAUGGGCUAUGGGAAGAGAUAAACCAGCCCCUAGUGGGCUGGAAUAAGUUCCCACUAAGGCCCAUAAGGUUUGAGAAGGAAAAAACACAAGGUGGAAAGAGUUUCCAAGUGGGAAGGUGGAAUCCUACUCCAAGUAGGAUUGGAGUAGGACUCCUCCACCUCCAAUUUCGGCCAAACCUUNNNNNNNNNNNNNNNNNNNNNNNNNNNNNNNNNNNNNNNNNGUUCUCGAACCCGCAGGGUCUGCACACUUAAGGUUCGACGUUGUUUUAUGCGUAUUUGAGUUAUAUGGUUGGUUACCGAAUGUUGUUCGGAGUCCCGGAUGACAUCCAGGACGUCACGAGGAGCUCCGGAAUGGUCCGGAGGUAAAGAUUGAUAUAUAGGAAGUCCUGUUUUGGUCACCGGAAAAGUUUCGGCCUCAUCGGUAGUGUACCGGNNNNNNNNNNNNNNNNNNNNNNNNNNNNNNNNNNNNNNNNNNNNNNNNNAAAUAGGUAUGCGGAUACUCACGAUCGAAUCUCGGGCAAGUAACAUACCGAAGGACAAGGGGAAUGACAUACGGGAUUAUAUGAAUCCUUGGCACUGAGGUUCAAAUGAUAAGAUCUUCGUAGAAUAUGUAGGAUCCAAUAUGGGCAUCCAGGUCCCGCUAUUGGAUAUUGACCGAGGAGUCUCUCGGGUCAUGUCUACAUAGUUCNNNNNNNNNNNNNNNNNNNNNNNNNNNNNNNNNNNNNNNNNNNNNNNNNNNNNNNNNNNNNNNNNNNNNNNNNNNNNNNNNNNNNNNNNNNNNNNNNNNNAUCACUUCAACCAGUGUGUGGCAGGGCGCAGGAAGUUGUUCAUGUGGCGCCUACACCAAUUGAAGUGGAAGCUGAUGAUGAUGAUCACUGAGCUUCGAAUCAAGUUACUACAAACCUCGUAGGUUGACAAGGUCGCGUACUGCUGCAGAGUAGUACGGUAACCCUUCUUGGAGGUCAUGUUGUUGAGCAACAGUGAACCUACGAGUUAUGGAGAAAGCGAUGGUGGGCCCAGAUUCCGACAAAUGGCUAGAAGCCAUGAAAUCCGAGAGAGGAUCCAUGUGUGAAAACAAAGUGUUGACUUUGGUAGAACUACUUGAUGGUCAUAGGACUAUUGAGUAAAAAUGGAUCUUUAAAAGAAGACACACGAUGAUGGUGAUAAGUCACUAUUAAGAAAAGCUCGACUUGUCGCAAAGAUGUUUUCGAUAAGAUCAAACAGUUGACUAUGAUGAGACUUUCUCACUCGUAGCGAUGCUAAAAGUCUGUUAGAAUUAUGUUAGUUGUUGAUGCAUUAUUUAUGAAAUAUUGCAUGUAGGAUGUCAAAACAUUGNNNNNNNNNNNNNNNNNNNNNNNNNNNNNNNNNNNNNNNNNNNNNNNNNNNNNNNNNNNNNNNNNNNNNNNNNNNNNNNNNNNNNNNNNNNNNNNNNNNNACGUAGAUCACUCAUCCCCUCUCGUAGAUGGACAUCACCAUGAUAGGUCUUCGUGCGCGUAGGAAAUUUUUGUUUCCCAUGCGACGUUCCCCAACACUUCUCCCCACGCUGGAAGCAGAGCUUUACGGUGUAGCGGAGCUUGUCUCCCAUCGGGGAAGUGAGCAGGACACCAGCCUCUUCUCCUCUUCGCGUGAAGGCUCCAUCGAAGUGCAUGGUCCAUCCCUCGAUUGCCUCCACACCGGGGGCAAGGUAUUGGCUCCCUUCCAGCCCCCGGUCCAGUGUGUCCGUCCACUUCGCCAUGAAGUCAUCCAUGGCUGCUCCCUUGAUGACCCUGGUCAUGCUGAAUUCGAUGUUGAAGGCCUGAAGCUCGAUGUUCCAUUCGGCGACCCUUACCGCCGCGUUUGGGUUGUGCAAGCCCGCUCGCCGAGCUUGGAGAUGAAACUCCCCAAGGAGGUAACACACCCCACCAGUUUCUGCAUCUCCUUGAAGGUUGUGGGCGUGCUCAUCUUGUUUAUGGCAUUGACCUUCACUGGGUUUGCCUUGAUCCCCCGGUAUGACACCAGGAAACCAAGCAGCUUGCCCGAUGGGACCCCGAAGACGCACUUCUCGGGGUUGAGCUUCAGGUUCACCUCUCGAAGGCUCGCGAAGGUCUCCUCCAGGUCCUCCACAAGGGUUUUUGCAUGUGUUGACUUGACCACGAUGUCGUCGACGUAGGCCUCUACAUUCCUCCCGAGCUGCGGUCCUAGGGCGAUAUAAAUCAGCCGCUGGAAGGUUACCCCGGCGUUCCGCAGCCUGAAGGGCAUGCACUCGUAGCAAGUAUACACCACACGGAGAGAGGAAGGCUGUCUUCUCGACGUCCUCCACUGCCAUAUUGAUCUGGUGGUAGCCCGAGAAUGCAUCCAUGAAGCACAGGAGAUCGCACUCCACAGUGGAGUCCAUGAUUUGGUCGAUGUGUGGUAGGGGGAACGGGUCCUGAGGGCAAGCCUUGUUGAGGUUCGUGAAGUCGACACACAAGCGCUCCUUUCCACACUUCUUCGGGACAACCACCGGGUUGGCCACCCAUUCUGGGUAGCGCACCCUCUUGAAUGAUCCCUGCCUCCUUCAGUUUGCGCACGUCCUGAGUGAUGAACGCCUUCUUUUUCGGGGCUUGCCUCGUUGCCUUCUGCUUCACUGGGCACGCGUUCAGGCACACCAUGAGGUGGUGCUCAAUGACGUCCCUCGGGACCCCCACCAGGUCGAAGGUGCUCCAGGCGAACGCGUCCUUGUUCUCCCCGAGGAAACCCACCAAUGAUGUCUCUUGGUCUUGAGGGAGAUUUGUGCCCAUGGUGAAGGUGGGAGCCGAGCUUCCUUCAUUCACCAGAACUUGCUUCGUCUCCGCCCGGUCCUGGGAGAACAACUGCUUCUUCUUCAUGGGUGCGAUGUCGUGGGCGUCCCCUGGGUCCUCCACGACGCGUGCCUCGCCCAUGAGGUUGGUACGCACCAUGGCCGCGGCCUUGUGGGAGAGAUCGAGCACCAGUGAGGCAUACUUGAUGUCCCCCAUGACGGUGAGCACGCCGCCGCUCCCGGGAAUCUUGACGAUGUUGUAGCCUGGGUGCGUUGCUGCCAUGAACUGCGCGAGGGCGGGGUAGCCGAGUAUUGUGUUGUAUGGAAGGUGGAUGUGGGCGACAUCAAAGUCGAUAUGCUCGGUAUGGAAGUUGGAGCGGGUGCCGAAGGUGACGGGGAGGCGAAUUCGUCCCAUAAGGGCAGCAGAUCCUGCCACCACCCCAGAGAAGGGCUUUGAGGGCGCAAGCCGCUCCCGGGGCAAUCGCGGCGCAUCGAAGGCCUCCACUGAGAUGACAUUGAGGCCCACACCACCGACGAUGAGGAUCUUGGAGACGGCCACGCCGGAUCUGGUCAGUGUGCACAACAUGGGAAGUGUCCCGGCGGCCGUCGUGGAGUUGGGGUGACUGUCGGGGCCGAAGGUGAUGUUGACCUUCGGUCAUACGCGGUGUUUUGCAGGCUCGGCCCUUGGAUGAGCCCCCCCCCCCGACGCGCUGUAGGAAACGAUUGACGUGACGGCCGGGAGGUGGCGCCUGUAAUCCACCGAGGAUGCAGGCAACAGCAGGGGCGGCCCUGCUCGCCCAGGCGCGCCCACCGCCGAGGACCGGUGACUGACGGUGGUCGCGCUUGGCAUGGAGUUGCCGAGUUGAGAUCUGGGUCUUGCUGUUAGCGUGGGGGCUCCGACGCGCACCACCUACCUGGCCCGCCAAAUGUCGGAUUUCGGGCUCUGCAAAACCCUAAAGAUUCGUAACCAGGGGUGCGCAGGGAGACCACUUGGCAGCUUCGGUUGACCCGACUCGCUACUCGAUGGACAAGGCAAAGAACUCACUCGACGGUGAGGAAGACACAAAAAACGAUAGUUUACCCAGGUUCGGGCCGCUGGGAAGCGUAAUACCCUACUCCUGCUUUUGUGGAUUGCCUCUCAUUGAGGUUGGUGGAUGGACUAGUACAAUGCUCGUGCGCCUCCAGAGGCUGGGUGGCGGUGUGUGAUGCUAGUGGGUGAAUGAAUGGAUCUCCCUUUCUACGGAGCAACCUAUCCUCUAUAUAUAGUGGCGGCCCGUGUUCUCUUCCCUUAUCAUUUCGGUGGGAAGGGAUCCCACAAUGGACAAUUUUGAAUGGGAACACGGGAACAUGCUCCCCUGUCCAAAGGUGGUCUUUGCCUGCAAAGUCAUUGUGUGCGCUGCAGGGACGGGCCCGAGAAUGACGUCUGCCCUGCUGGCGGGCGGCGACAGCCUUGUUGCACCAGAAAGGAAACCUUUGGAAGAUGCCUUGGGAACCCCGGUAUGUCCUUGCCCCCUUUGCACUAAAGGGGAAACUGCAUCGUCCCGCUGUCUGCUGCUCGCCUGUCCUUCCCAUAUGUCAUCCUUGACUCCUGAGGCCGAUCCUCGCCUCGGAAUAUCCGCCGUUCUGGAGGGGUCCGGAGGAGCCCCCCUGGAGGUCUUGAUACUGCUCCUCCUUGCGAGGCUUGGCCCCUCGCAAGGCCCUUGUCUCGAGCGGUGCGAGGCCCGCUGGUUUGUGGUUAAUGAAGUGGGCCAGCCCUGUGCCGCAGGCAGGCAGGUCUAGGUACCCCCAUUCCCAGAACACCGACAACAUCAACUCCAUUGCCCCUCCGAUGAUGUGUGAGUAGUUCACCACAGACCUACAACUCCAUAACUAGUAGCUAGAUGGCUUCUUCUCUCUCUUUGAUCUUCAAUACCAUGUUAUCCAUGAUCUUCAUGGAGAUCUAUUGGUUGUAAUACUCUUUUGUGGUGUAUUUGUUGAGAUCUGAUGAAUUGUGAGUUUAUGUUCACAUUAUCCAUGAAUAUUAUUUGAGUCUCUUCUGAAUUCUUAUAUGCAUGAUUUCAUAUCUUUGCAAGUCUCUUCGAAUUAUUUGUUUGGUUUGGCCAACUAUAUUGGUAACUCUUGCAAUGGGAGAAGUGCUUAGUUUUGGGUUCAAUCUUGCGGUGUCCUCAUCUAGUGAUAGUAGGGGUAGCGAGGCACAUACUGUAUUGUUUCCAUCAAGGAUAAAAAGAUGGGAAAAGUAGGGGUAGCGAGGCACAUCAUUGCUUGAGUUUAUCCCUCUACAUCAUGUCAUCUUACUUAAUGGGUUACUCUGUUCUUCAUGAACUUAAUACUCUAGAUGCAGGUAGGAGUCGGUCGAUGUGUGGAGUAAUAGUAGUAGAUGCAAAAUCGUUUCGGUCUACUUGACACGGACGUGAUGCCUAUAUGCAUAACCAUUGCCUAGGAUAUCUUCAUAAUUAUUUGCUUUUCUAUCAAUUGCUCGACAGUAAUUUGUUCACCCACCGUAUUAUUUUCCUUUAUGAGAGAAGCCUCUAGUGAAACCUAUGGCCCUCGGGUCUAUUUUCCAUAUUAUAUUUCAGAUCUAUAAACCAAAAUUAACAAAAAUACUUUUCUGCAAUUUGUUUACUUUAGUUUUACUUUUAGAUCUAUUAGUAUUUUAUAUCUAUCUCUAUCAGAUCUCAUCCUUGCAAAUAACUCUCAAGGGAUUGACAACACCUUUAUAGCGUUGGGUGCAAGUGUUUGAUUAUUUGUGUAGGUAAUACUAUUGGAGCCUUGUUUGUUCCUCCUACUGGAUUGAUACCUUGGUUCUCAACAAACCGAGGGAAAUACUUAUCUACUUCGAUGCGUCACCCUUUCCUCUUCAAGGGAAAACCAACGCAAGCUCAAGAGGUAGCAAUCACUAAGGGGCACUAAAUGCACUUACAAUCUCCCCCUUUUUGGUGGUUGAUGACAAUCAGGUUAAGUUUUCAACGGGGAUAAAAAUAUGAAGUUUAAGCACAAAGUUUGAGGAAUUUGAUUGCAAGAUAUAGAGAAACUCCCCCUGAAGAUGUGCAUGCUUGAGGAAUUUUCUUUGGACUGCAAAUGCACAUUGCUGAUUUAUAUCAUGGAGAUCCCCCCCUAUAUCUUGUAAUGCAUGCAUGGAUUUAACACAUAGUAUGAGGAAUUUGAAAUGCAUGAUUAAAAAUGGUGUAUGAUGAAUUUGGCAUGUAUGCAAUUAAACAACUUGAGGAAUAAACAUGCGAGGAAAAACGAUGAAAAGCGUCAGACCGCUAGUGGGCUUAAGUUAAAACUCAUUACAACAAAAGCUUCACAAGAACGAGAGUUUGUAACUUAAUAAAGUUUAUAAUAGCCCAUAAGUAGACCCGCUUGAAGAGUAACUCAGAUUUCUCCGCCUUUGUCAUCAAGUGACGAAAAGGGACAAAAACUGAGGACUAACGCCCUUGAAGAAUGUCACUUCUGAGUCGGUGGAGGUGCGUUGGGGUCGGCCGUUGCAGGAGUGUCGUCAAUGUCUUCAGCUUCAUUGGUUGUGUGGGUUGAAGAAAAUGAGUUAGCCACUAGUUGAGAAACAUGGAUCUUCUUAAACUUCUUCUUCGAAGUCCAGGACUAGUCAAAGUCUCGCUGGAAAUCCAUCUCUACAAGUUCCUCAGGAGUCUUGUGGUGAGACAGAAUAGCCCAUGUGCGAUCAAAAAUGUCAUGCUGGUAGUAGUGAUUUUUCUUAGCUGCAUUCCUGGUUGCAUUGAGGUCUUUCAAAAUUUCUCCAACCUGGUGCUUGAUCCAUUUGUGGUUGCGAUCAACCUUUUGAUUAAGACUUAGCAGUAGCUCACGGUCAAUCAUCACGCACGGUGCAGUUGGGCUUGGUGGUUCUUGGGAUAGAGUGUCAACAUUGGUAGAAUAUGACGCUGGUUUGCGAAAUUGUCCAUCAAGGGGCCCGGUGCCUUCAUCAAUCACUGAUUUUCCUUUGCCUUCAAUUUCAUCAAAGGAGAUUUUGACGACUUCAAUUGGAGGCAGAUAAGAUUGAUGAUUCAGAAUGUCAGCUUUGUAUGGAAUACCUGGCCUCUUUCUAAUGAAUUUCAUAAUCCAUGGAGUGUAAGGCUUCAAAUCAAGUGGUGAGAGAGCAGAGUGGGACAAUGUUCUCACGAAGAAAUCAUGAAGAUUUAUGGGGAUUCCAUGUAUGACGUUAUAGAGAAAAUUAUUCAUGAUGCCCGCUAUUUCUUCAUCAUUUGAAUCAUGACCCUUGAUUGUACAGAAAGUCUUGGCUAAGAUGCGAUAGACUGUCCUUGGCACAUAGAUUAAUUCCUUUGUGAGGAAUUUGGUUCUUGGUGACUGACCAGGUGCCAAUGGCUUCAUGAGGACUUGCAUAUAGUGAGCUCCUAGUUCAGGUUCAUCAUAUAUGCAUCUGGCUCCAUCUGAGGGUAAUGGCACAGGAAGAGCCUGAAGCAAUUCCUUUGCACGGGCUUUGAAGUGUGUGUCAUGUGUCAUCCAGUCCAUAAUCCAUGUGUUGGCAUCUUGAGGAUCUCUUGACGGGUGCAGUGUAGCAUAGAACUGAAGAAUUAUUUCCUCAUUCCAGUCACAGAUUUUUGUGCAGAAUUGCAACAUGCCAGAAUCAUGAAGAAUUUUCAGGACUGGUUCAUAUGAGGGAAUUUCCUCCAUAUCUCGAUGAGGAAUAUGCAUGUGAGGAAAGAACCUUUCUCUCUCAAAGAGCACAACACUGUAGUAGUUCAUCUGAUUUGAGUCCAAAAUCUGAUGUGUUUGUACUGAGGAGAUUCAUAUGGACUGGGGCCAACGAAGUAAUGACGUUCAUCAAAUAAUUGAGCCCUGUCAAACUUUGGCCUUUUUUAUUUGUAGGGCUUGAUUCCCUUUGGCUGAAGAUUUGGCUUGAAGCAGCUUCCAAGUCUUCGUGUAUUGCCUGCUUGAGGAAUUUGAACCACCACAACUGUUGUCUCAGUAUUUCCAACAUGUGGUUCACCAACAUAUUCUUCAUUUUGUAUCGGACUAGAUCCUUCAUGCACAUGUUCUUCACUCUGAGUAAUAUGCUGAGUCAUUAUGUCAGUUGCGGGCACAACAGUUCCUUCAAUAUUUCCAUUUUCAUCAGCUAAUGCAGUUGAUUCCAUAGCAAGUGCAAACUUGGCUGGAGUGCUCUCUUUUUUCAUAGCCAGUCAAAACUUCAGUGGCAGCAGGGGAUUCAGGGAUUUGAGGAAUUGGAGGGACCAAUGGUGAAUUUGGAUGAGUUUGUUCCCAAAAGUCAUCAUGGAUCACUAGUGUGUUGCAGCCAAUGUCCACAUCGUCCUCCUUUUCUUCAGCAGUCAUCUCAGGGUUCCGAGGAGGAGUUGAGGCUUGAAGAAUGUCAUCAGCUUGAAUUUCCUCAUCUAUGGGUGUGGGUGCAGCAGACCAAUUUUCGUCCAUUUCUCAUCCCUUUCCUGAAUGACAUGAUCUUCACCAAAGGGUAUGAACAUGUAUGACGGUGCAACACUGAGAGGAGUUGCAUCAAUUGGAGCAGAUGAUGAAGUAGGCAGAGUCUUCACGCGUUUUGCCUCUGAAGACUUUGAAGGUGUUGAUGCCUUUCUCUUCUUAGCUUCUUUCUCAGUUGCUUUGGUUUUCUUCACUUUGGAUGCAGAAGGAAGUGGGACGUUCUUCACCUUUCAAGACUUUGAUGAAGGUGCAUUUUCUUCACUGGUUGCAUAGGCAGUUGCAGGCCUGGUAGAGUCUUCAGUAGUUUCAUCAGUAGUGAUGAUUCACAAGUAUAGGGGAUCUAUCAUAGUCCUUUCGAUAAGUAAGAGUGCCGAACCCAACGAGGAGCAGAAGGAAAUGACAAGCGGUUUUCAGUAAGGUAUUCUGUGCAAGCACUGAAGUUAUCGGUAACAGAUAAUUUUGUGAUAAUGUAAUUCGUAAUGCGUAGCAAGUAACAAAUGUAACAAUGGUUCAGCAAGGUGGCCCAAUCCUUUUUGUAGCAAAGGACAUGCCUGGGCAAACUCUUAUAUAAAGAAAAGCGCUCCCGAGGACACAUGGGAAUUUAUGUCAAGCUAGUUUUCAUCAUGCUCAUAUGAUUCGUGUUCGUUACUUUGAUAAUUUGAUAUAUGGGUGGAACGGUGCUUGGGUACUUCCCUUGGACAAACAUCCCACUUAUGAUUAACCUCUCUCGCAAGCAUCCGCAACUACGAAAGAAGAAUUAAAAUAAAUCUAACCAUAGCAUUAAACGUAUGGAUCCAAAUCAGCCCUUUACAAAGCAAUGCAUAAACUAGGGUUUAAGCUUCUGUCACUCUAGCAGCCCAUCAUCUACUUAUUACUUCCCAAUGCCAUCCUCUAGGCCAAAAUAAUGGUGAAGUGUCAUGUAGUUGAUGUUCACAUGACACCACUAGAGGAGAGACAACAUAUAUCUUAACAAAAUAUUGAACGAAUACCAAAUUCACAUGAUUACUUAUAACAAGACUUAUCCCAUGUCCUCAGGAACAAUCUUAACUACUCACAAAGCAUAUUCAUGGUCAUAAUCAGAGGAUUAUUAAUAAUCAUUAAGGAUCUGAACUUAUAAUUUUCCACCAAAUAAACCAACUAGAAUCAACUACAAGGAGUAAUCAACACUACAAGCAACCCACUGGUACCAAUAUGAGGUUUUGAGACAAAGAUCGGAUACAAGAGAAGAACUAGGGUUUGGAGAGGAGAUGGUGCUGAUGAAGAUGUUGAUGGAGAUUGAUCCCCUUUCAAUGGGAGGAUCGUUGGUGAUGAUGAUGGCUUCGAUUUCCCCCUCCAUGAGGGAAGUUUCCCCGGCUGAAUAGCUCCGCUGAAGCUCUAGAUUGGUUAUGUCGAAGUUCCGCCUCGAGACGGCGGUGCAUCGCCCCGAAAGGUCUGAUAUGAUUUUUCUAGGUCAAAACCCUUCAUAUAGUAGAAGAUGGGCAGCGAAGGCCUGCCAGGGGGCCACAAACCUGUAGGGCGCGACCAGGGGUAGGCCGCGCCCCCUGGCUUGUGACCUCCUGGUGGGUCCCCUCCGAUAUUUCUUUCACCCAUUAUUUUUUAUAUAUUCCAAAACAAUUGUCCAUAACUUUUCAGGACUUUUGGAGCUAUGCAGAAUAGGUCUCUCAUAUUUUCCCCUUUUCUAGUCCAAAAUUCCAGCUGCCGGCAUUCUUCCUCUUCAUGUAAAUCAUGUAAAAUAAGAGAGAAAAGGCAUAAGUAGUGUACCAUAAUGUGUAUUAACAGACCAUAAUGCAAUAAAUAUUGAGAUAAAAGAAUGAUGCAAAAUGGAUGUUUCAACUCCCCCAAGCUUUGUCCUCGCUUGUCCUCAAGCGAAAGCCGAUAUCAAUAAAUAUGCCCACAUGUUUAGAGAUAGAGGUGUCGAUGAAAUAAAAUACGGACAUGAAGGCGUCAUGGUUAUAUUUAGAACAACAAUAAAUACUGACAUAGAAUAUUUUACAUUAGAGUAAUAAUUCAUUCACAAGGCAAAAUAUGAAUCAAGAACUCUAUUGAGAACUAACGAACUAUGAUUUCAGUCAUUGAACCAAUUCCAAUUUAUCGCAACGUAGGAAAGAGUCAAUAAGAGCUUGUAAGGAAAGUCCACAUACUCAAUCAUCUUAUGGUAUUUCAUAAUUGCUAACACUCACGCGGUACCUAUGAGCUCAAAGCUUCAAUAACACAUAGAGAAAGAUAGGGGCUUAUAAUUUUGCCUCCCAACUAUUUACCUCAAGGGUAAUGUCAACAAGAAUAACUCAUGAUCACCCACAUCCGAGUGGAUAUAUUUGUCUAUAUCAUUCCCCAACACAUGACACUUGACAAAAGAUAAGGGUGAAACAAAGGAAAUGGUGAAGAUCACCAUGACUCUUAGAUAAAGGUAAGUACUAGAAAGUAAAGGUAACAGAUAGGCCCUUCGUAGAGGGAAGCAGAGGUUGUCAUGCACUUUUAUAGUUGGAUGCACAAUCCCUUAAUGCAAAAGAAAGUUAAUUUAUAUUGCCCCUUAUGAUAAAGAACUUUAUUAUGCAGUCUGUCGCUUUUAUUUCUUCUAUAUCACAAGUUCGUAUACAGUUUAUUUUCCUCGCACUAAUAAACCACACAUAUUUAAAGAGCAAUUUUUAUCGCUUGCACCGAUGACAACUUACUUGAAGGAUCCUACUCAAUCCAUAGGUAGCUAUGGUGGACUCUCAAGGAAAAAUUGGGUUAAAGGUUUUUGGAUGCACAAGUAGUAUCUCUACUUGGUGCAGGAGUUUCUGGCUAAUAUGAGGUGGAAGCAAGCGACACAUGUUGAAGGAUCUACAACCAUAUAAUUGCUAUUCAGAAAUAAGCAAACAUAACUUAUUAUGGUGUCUUCCUUGUCCAACAUCAACUUCUUAACAUAUAAUAUUUUAAUGAGUGUUCACAAUCACAAAAGAUGUCUAAGAUAAUAUAUUUAUAUGUGAACCUCUCUUUCUUUAUUACUUCCUUUUAAUUGCAACAAUGACCAAUAGUUUUGUUUGUCAACUCACAACAAAUUUCAAUCGUCAUACCUUUUAUAUGUGAAGUCAUCACUCUGCAUAAGAUCAUUAUGUAUGCUCUUUUGCUUUUAUUUUGUACUUCUUUCUAUUUCUUUUUCUCAAGAUCUUAGUAAGCAAGCAAAGCCCUUGACUCAAAACUACUCUUUAUUAUAUAACUCUCGGACUUGCUUACACAGGGGGGACAAAAACAAAACUCAAAAUUAGAUCACACUAAAACUUUAUUCUACUAGAUCAAGAUAUAGUUGAAGGUAUCGAACGAAGAAAAACAAAGAAAGUAAAAAGGUGUGAUGGUGAUACGUUACCGGGGCACCUCCCCCAAGCUUGGCACAAGCCAAGGGGAGUGCCCAUACCCAUGUGUUUAGUUGUCUUUCUUCGGAGAUGAUGAUGUUGGAGUUGUUGGUGAGGUUGAAGGUUUGUCCUCCGUCUUCCAAGGCAUGGGAUCACCAUCGUGAAAAGAUGAACUAGUCUCCAGGAUCCUCAAGCCUACAACCAAACUCAUUUUCUUAAAUUUGUAUUCAUACUCACAAUUUUGGUUUUGCAAGUCAUAGAUCUGGGCUUGGAGAUGCUCGAUUUUCUCGUAAAUCUUGAAGACGUGAACCCACAGGUUCUUGUCGUCAAACUUGUGCUUAUGGGUAAAGUCCACCAUCAUCAAGUGAUUGGCAUUAAGUCCUCAUUCCACCAUCCCUUGGCACUUGAAGACUUGCUGCUCCAUUGCUUCGAGCCUUGUCUCCAUGCUUCCAGUCUUCUUUGGCCCCUCAGCAUCGCGGAUGUGCAGCACCCCCUCAUGCAUCUCAAUGGUUUGAGGGUGUUGGAGCACCUCCGCAAGGUAGGGGUUGAUGACCCUCUCAAAGAACUUGUCCUUCAGGGUACUUGAAGACGUCAUGUUGAUCUAAAUCUGUUAUAGAAACAACUCGAAAUGAAAAUAGGAGGAAUUGUCAUGAUACAAAGGUCAAACCCGUCGGGAGAUUAUAUAAUCAAUUUUUGCUGACCCGAGGGAGUAUUCCACAGAAAAACGGAGUCCGUAGGGUGCCCGGGGUGGCCACAAGCAUGCAGGGCGCGACCAGGGGGCAGGCCACGCCUGAAGUUUGUUGUGUAUCCCUUGCAACGGCGCCAAAAAUAGUUGUGUCGACGGCACUAGGAAUCCUUCAACUACGGCUACGCCUUAAGGGACUUCCUAGGCAAGUAUGAAAAGGAUUUCCCCCGUGGCCUUGGAGCCUUGCGUUGGUAUUCCCUCGAAGCGGAAAGGGUGAUGUAGCACAGCGACGUUAAGUAUUUCCCUCAAUUUGAGAACCAAGGUAUCAAUCCGGCGGAAGAGUAUCUCAAGAUCCUGCACAAACACAAAAGCUUGCACCCAACGCUAUGAAGGGGUUGUCAAUCCCUUAUAGAUUGUUUGCCAAGUGAGAGCUGAAAGCAACAAAGUAACAAAGCAAAGUAAAAGCAUAGUUGUAAACGAUGGAUGUGAAUAGACCCGGGGGCGGUAGUGUUUACUAGUGGCUUCUCUCAUGAAAGCAAGUAGACGGUGGGUGAAGAAAUUAUUGUCGAGCAAUUGAUAGAACUGUGCAGAGUUGUGAUGAUAUCUAUGCAAUGAUUAUUUCUAUAUGCAUCACGUCCGAAACAAGUAGACCGAUACUUUCUGCAUCUACUACUAUUACUCCACACGUCCACCACUAUCCAGCAUGCAUCUAGUGUAUUAAGUCCAUAAGAACAGAGUAACGCCUUAAGCAAGAUGACAUGAUGUAGAGGGAUAAUCUCAAACCAAUGAUAAAAACCCCAUCUUUUUACCCUUGAUGGCAACUGCUUGAUGUGUGCCUUGCUGCCCCUACCGUCACUGGGAAAGGUCACCAGAUGGCAGAACCCAAAACCAAGCACUUCUCCCAUUGCAAGAAUCAUAGAUCUAGUUGGCCAAACAAAACCCAAGACUCGGAGAGACUUACAAGGAUAUCAAAUCAUGCAUAUAAGAAAUCAGCAAGGACUCAAAUAUAUAUCAUAGAUAAUCUGAUCACAAGUCCACAAUUCAUCGGAUCUCGACAAACACACCGCAAAAGAAAAUUACAUCGGAUAGAUCUCCAUGAAGAUCAUGGAAAACUUUGUAUUGAAGAUCCAAAAGAGAGAAGAAGCCAUCUAGCUACUAACUACGGACCCGUAGGUCUGAAGUGAACUACUCACGAGUCACUGGAGGGGCGAUGAAGAUGAUGAAGAAGCCCUCCACCUCCGAAGUCCCCUCCGGCAGGGUGCCGGGAAGGGUCUCCAGAUGAGAUCUCGCGGAAACAGAAGCUUGCGGCGGUGGAAAAGUAUUUUCGAGGCUCCCCCGAUUUUUUGCGGAAUAUUUGGGAAUUUACAGGCCAAAGAUCUAGGUCAGGGGGCGGCCAGGGAGGCCACAAGCCUGCCCACCGCCGCCUCCCCCUGGUGGCGGAGUGGGGGCUUGUGGGAUCCCUGGAGCCCACCUGGCUUGGCCCAAAUGCCCCCUGGUCUUCUUCCGUUCGGGAAAAAAUCAUUUUGUGGUUUUUCUUCCAUUUGGACUCCGUUCCAAAAUCAGAUCUGAAAAGAGUCAAAAACACGAAAAAAACAGGAACUGGCACUUGGCACUGAAUUAAUAAGUUAGUCCCAAAAAAGAUAUAAAAGGUACAUAAAACAACCCAAGAAGACAAGAUAACUGCGUUAAACCAUCAAAAAUUAUAGAUACGUUUGAGACGUAUCAAGCAUCCCCAAGCUUAACUCCUGCUCGUCCUCGAGUAGGGAAGUGAUAAGAAUGAAUUUUUUAUGCUUUCAUGCUACCUAGCAUAGGUGUCCUUUGUAAUUCCUCUUAUGUGACGUGAAUGUUCAGAUCCAUUAGAUUCAAAACAAUAGUUUGCUAUUGACGUGGAAACAAUAAUAAUUCAAGCAAACUAGAAAAGCAAUCAUGAACAGGCCAAAAGAAAGUUAUCCCUACAAAAGCAUAUAGUCUGGCUAUGCUCUGUCAUCAUUGCACAAUGAGUUUAAAUCAUGCACAACCCCGGUAUUGGCCAAGUAAUUGUUUCACACCUUUACUUUCUCAAACAUUUUCAACUCUCACGCAAUACAUGAGUGUGAGCCAUGGUUAUAGCACUAUAGAUGGUGUGGAAUGUGGUGGAGGUUGCAAGAAAAAAAAGGAGAAGAUAGUCACAUUAACUAGGCAUAUAAAUGAGCUGUGGAGAUGCUCAUAAAUAGAUAUCAAUGUGAAUGAGUAGGGAUUGCCAUACAAAUGAUGCACUAGAGCUACAAGUAUGUGAAAGCUCUUAAAGAAAACUAGUGGGUGUGCAUCCAACUUGCUUGAUCACGAAGACCUAAGGCAAUUUUGAGGAAGCCUAUCAUUGGAAUAUACAAGCCAAGUUAUAUAAUGAGAAUUUCCCACUAGCUAUAUGGUGGUGACAAAACGAGAGACUCUCAAUCAUGAAGAUCAUGGUGCUCAAAAUGCACAAGUGUGGAAGAAGUGGUAGCAUUGUUCCUUAUCUCUUUUUCUCUCAUUUUUUUUAUUUUGGUGGGCUCUUUGGCCUCUUUUUUAUGGGCUGCUUUGGCCUCUUUUAUUUCCUCACAUGGGACAAUGCUCCAAUAAUGAUGAUCAUCACACUUUCAACUCAAAACUUAGAGCAACUAUGACUCUAUAUGGAAUGCCUUCGGUAGUGUAUCGUGGCAAUGAUUUAGCAUGGCAUAGACAUCAAUGGAAACAUCAUGCUAGCUAUCUUACGAUCGUGCAAAGGCAAUGUAGACGUGGUGGCACAUAUCAUGGUGGUAAUUGCAUUGCAAUAUAUCUCGGAAUGACUUUGAAAAAGCCAUAGUAGGUAGGUAUGGUGGCUGUUUUGAGGGAGGCUAAUGGUGGGUUUUGUGCACCGGCGAAAGUUGCGCGGCACUAAGAAGAUAGUGAUGGUGGAAGGUGAAAGUGCAUCUAAACUAUGGACUCAACAUUAGUCAUGAAGAACUCAUAUACUUGUUGCAAAAGUUUUGUUAGUAAUCGAAACAAAGCAUUCAACGCAUACUCCUAGGGGAAGGGUUGGUAGGUAUAAACCAUCGCGCGAUACCGACCGCCACGCAAAGGAUGACAAUCAAUAUACUAAUCAUGCUCAGAUUUCAUCACAUAGCGGUUCACCAUAUGUGCAUGCUACGGGAAUCACUAAUUUCAACACAAGUAUUUCUAGAUCCACAACACCUUACUAGCAUGACUUCAAUAUUACCAUAACCACAACUCAAAACUAAUUGAGAUGAAUCAAACUUCUCUAACUAUUCAAUGCACAUGAAGGUGGAAGUUUUCGUAUCCCUUUGGAUAACUACCCCUUUUGAGACUAAUUUAAAGCAUAGAUCAACUACCAAGCCGCGCACUGCUGUGCUCUAAAAGGUAUAAGUGAAGCACAUAGAGCAAAAGUAUCUAGCUCAAAAGAUAUAAGUGAAGCACAUGUGAGCUGAAUUGUCUACCAAAAGAUAUAAGUGAAGCUCGACAAAAUCAUGGUGAGUGCAUGUCUCUCUCUCUAGGUGUGAAGCAAGGAUGAUUGUGACACAACAAAAAUAAAAUACUCCUACGAUACAAGACGCUCCAAGCAAAAACACAUAACAUGUGGUGAAUAAAAAUAUAGCCCCAAGUAACGUUACCGAUGGAUUGAAGACGAGAGAGGGGAUGCCUUCCCGGGGCAUCCCCAAGCUUAGGCUUUUAUGGCAUCCUUGAAUCUCUUGGGGUGCCCUGCGCAUCCCCAAGCUUGAGCUCUUGCCACUCUUUAUCUUUUUGUCCAUAAGAACUUCACCCAAAACUUGAAAACUUCACAACACAAAACUUAAACAGAAACUCGUGAUAACAUUAGUACAAGAAAGCAAACCACCACUUCCUUAGGUACUGUAGCAAACUUAAAUUCUACUUGUGCUGAUGUUGGGUUACUGUACUUUCAAUCUUCCAUGGCUAAUACCCCCCGAUACUAUCCAUAGUUUCAUCAAAAUAAGCAACCAACACAACAAAAACAGAAUCUGUUAACAGCAGACCAGUCUGUAGCAAUCUGUAUUUUUUGUAUACCUCUGCUACUUCAAAAUUUCUGAAAAAUUACGACAGUCUGAAGAUUUUGCGUAGAAAUCGGAAGCAAAAAGAAUCAACUCAAAAUCUCUUACAGAAAAUAAAUGAAAAUUCUUUUCGUGAGCAGAAAGUUUCUGUCUUUUCCAGCGUGACCAAACGAUCAACCUCAAGACUAAUCAUAACGGUUUUGCUUGACACAAACGCAAAAGGAAACACAAAAAACACAAUCAUAACAGAAUUAUGAAAGUGUGGAAAACACAAAACAUAAAGAAAAAGGAUAGAUUCGUUGGAUUGCCUCCCAACAAGCGCUUUUGUUUAACGCCCUUAGCUAGGCAUUCAAUGAUGCUCUCACAAAAGACAAGAAUUGAAGCACAACGAGAGCAUCCUAAAGCAUGUGAAAACCACAUCUAAGUCUAACAUACUUCCUAUGCAUAGGCAUUUUAUAGGAAAACAAAUUGUCAAGACAACCAAUAGCUGCCAUAUGCAAGGAAGAAGAAAGAGACAAGAGCAAUCUCAACAUCACGAGAGGUGAUUUGGUAACACGAAAGUUUCUACCAAAAUAUUUUCCUCUCUUAUAGAAAUUACAUGUGGGAUCAUAUUCAAAUUCAACAAUAUAACUAUCCCAUAGGAUAUUCUUUUCAUGAUCCACAUGCAUGCAAAGUUGACGCUCUUUAAAAAUAGUGGGAUUAUCAUCAAAUAAAGUCAUGACUUCUCCAAUCCCACUUUCAGUAUUGUUGCAAAUAUCAUAUUCAUCAUGAGGUUUGAACAAAUUUUCAAGAUCAUAAGAAAGAUCAUCACCCCAAUCAUGAUUAUUGCAACAAGUAGUGGACAAAGCAAAACUAGCAUCCCCAAGCUUAGGGUUUUGCAUAUUUUUAGCAUGAUUGUCACUAAUAGGAUUUAUAGUGAAAUCAUUGCAAUCAUGCUUUUCAUCCAAGGAGCCCUCGUGAAUCACUUCAUGAAUUUCUUCCUCACAAUUUUCAGAUUCACGCAUCUUAUGCAAAACUCCAAAGAAAUAGUCAAUUGCCCUCAACUCACUAGCAAUUUGUUCCACACGAGUGGGUCUCUUAAAGAGACUAGCAAGUGGAUGAGGAUCCAUAUCACUAGAUUUUCAACAAGCGAACAUGCAAGCAUAUUGAAGGCACAUGGCACACAAGCGAACAAAAAGCAAGCGAGAGAAAAAGGGCGAACAAAAAAGGCAAAUGAAAACGGCAAAGGCGAAUGGCGAAUGAAAACGGCAAAUGUGAAGUGGUGGAGAGGAAAACGAGAGGCAAGUGGCAAUAAAAGUAAAUGCAAGAGAAGAGUUUGUGAGACCUACUUGGAUAGAUCUUGAUUUCUCCUCCCUGGCAACGGCGCCAGAAAUACUUCUGAUGUUUACUAUGUAUCCCUUGCAACGGCGCCAAAAAUAGUUGUGUCGACCGCACCAGGAAUCCUUAAGCUACAGCUAGGCCUUAAGGGACUUCCUAGGCAAGUAUGCAGGUGAUUUCCCCCAUGGCCUUGGAGCCUUGCGUUGGUGUUCCCUCGAAGCGGAAAGGGUGAUGUAGCACAGCGACGGUAAGUAUUUCCCUCAGUUUGAGAACCAAGGUAUCAAUCCGGCGGAAGAGUAUCUCAAGAUCCUGCACAAACACAUAUGCUUGCACCCAACGCUAUGAAGGGGUUGUCAAUCCCUUAUAGAUUGUUUGCCAAGUGAGAACUGAAAGCAACAAAGUAACAAAGCAAAGUAAAAGCGGAGUUGUAAACGAUGGAUGUGAAUAGACCCGGGGGCGGUAGUGUUUACUAGUGGNNNNNNNNNNNNNNNNNNNNNNNNNNNNNNNNNNNNNNNNNNNNNNNNNNNNNNNNNNNNNNNNNNNNNNNNNNNNNNNNNNNNNNNNNNNNNNNNNNNNNNNNNNNNNNNNNNNNNNNNNNNNNNNNNNNNNNNNNNNNNNNNNNNNNNNNNNNNNNNNNNNNNNNNNNNNNNNNNNNNNNNNNNNNNNNNNNNNNNNNNNNNNNNNNNNNNNNNNNNNNNNNNNNNNNNNNNNNNNNNNNNNNNNNNNNNNNNNNNNNNNNNNNNNNNNNNNNNNNNNNNNNNNNNNNNNNNNNNNNNNNNNNNNNNNNNNNNNNNNNNNNNNNNNNNNNNNNNNNNNNNNNNNNNNNNNNNNNNNNNNNNNNNNNNNNNNNNNGUAGUGUUUACUAGUGGCUUCUCUCAUGAAAGCAAGUAGACGGUGGGUGAACAAAUUACUGUCGAGCAUUUGAUAGAACUGUGCAGAGUCGUGACGGUAUCUAUGCAAUGAUUAUUUCUAUAGGCAUCACGUCCGAAACAAGUAGACCGAUACUUUCUGCAUCUACUAUUACUCCACACGUUGAUCGCUAUCCAGCAUGCAUCUAAUGUAUUAAGUCCAUAAGAACAGAGUAACGCCUUAAGCAAGAUGACAUGAUGUAGAGGGAUAAUCUCAAACCAAUGAUAAAAACCCCAUCUUUUUACCCUUGAUGGCAACUGCUUGAUGUGUGCCUUGCUGCCCCUACUGUCACUGGGAAAGGUCACCACAUGGCAGAACCCAAAACCAAGCACUUCUCCCAUUGCAAGAAUCAUAGAUCUAGUUGGCCAAACAAAACCCAAGAUCUGGAGAGACUUACAAGGAUAUCAAAUCAUGCAUAUAAGAAAUCAGCAAAGACUCAUAUAUAUAUCAUAGAUAAUCUGAUCACAAGUCCACAAUUCAUCAGAUCUCGACAAACACACCGCCAAAGAUGAUUACAUUGGAUAGAUCUCCAUGAAGAUCAUGGAGAACUUUGUAUUGAAGAUCCAAGAGAGAGAAGAAGCCAUCUAGCUACUAACUACGGACCUAUAGGUCUGAAGUGAACUAUUCAUGAGUCAUUGGAGGGGCGAUGAUGAUGAUGAAGAAUCCCUCCACCUCCGAAGUCCCCUCCGGCAGGGUGCCGGGAAGGGUCUCCAGAUGAGAUCUCGCGGAAACGGAAGCUUGCGGCGGCGGAAAAGUUUUUUCGAGGCUCCCCCGAUUUUUUGCAGAAUAUUUGGGAAUUUAUAGGCCAAAGAUCUAGGUCAGGGGGCGGCCAGGGAGGCCACAAGCCUGCCCACCACCGCCUUCCCCUGGUGGCGGAGUGGGGGCUUGUGGGCUCCCUGGAGCCCGCCUGGCUUGGCCCAAAAGCCCCGUGGUCUUCUUCCGUUCGGGAAAAAAUCAUUUUGGGGUUUUUCUUCUGUUUGGACUCCGUUCCAAAAUCAGAUCUGAAAAGAGUCAAAAACACGGAAAAAGCAGGAACUGGAACUUGGCACUGAAUUAAUAAGUUAGUCACAAAAGAUAUAAAAGGUACAUAAAACAACCAAAGAAGACAAGAUAACAGCGUGAAACCAUCAAAAAUUAUAGAUACGUUUGAGACGUAUCAACGCCCCCUGGCUUGUCGCCUCCUCGUGCACGCUUCAGGCUGCUUUAAAUUUUCCUAAUUUUUAAAAUAUUCCAAAACUGGUAAAAAUUGCCAUUGAAAACGUUUUGGAGUCGGUUUGCUUACCGUAGCACAUACCUAUUCCUUUUCGGGGUCCGAGACGUUCUGAUAGGUCUCCCUAAUGUACUCUUCCGAAGUUAUGGUAUUGAUAAUAUUAGUUUCAACAUUUAUGGGAGUACGUGAGAUAUAAUGUUUGAUUCUUUGCCCAUUUACCACCUUCAGAUUUGUGCCUUCGACAUUGUUAAUCUCGAUGGCACCGGAACAAUAUACUUCCUCGAUAACGUAAGGCCCUUCACAUUUAGAGAGAAUUUUUCCUGCAAAAAAUCUUAAACGAGAGUUGUAUAGCAAGGCAUGAUCACCUACAUUGAAUUCAUGCUUUUGUAUCUUUCUAUCAUGCCAUCUCUUAACCUUUUAUUUAAACAACUUGGCAUUCUCAUAGGCCUGGGUUCUCCAUUCAUCAAGUGAGCUAAUGUCAAAUAAUCUUUUCUCACCAGCAAGUUUGAAAACAUAGUUAAGCUCUUUAAUUGCCCAAUAUGAUUUAUGUUCUAGCUCUAGAGGUAAGUGACAUGCUUUACCAUAAACCAUUUUAUACGGAGACAUACCCAUAGGGUUUUUGUAAGCGGUUCUAUAAGCCCAUAAUGCAUCAUUAAGUUUCUUGGACCAAUUCUUUCUAGAUCUAUUAACGGUCUUUUGCAAGAUGAACUUAAUUUCUCUAUUGCUCAAUUCUACUUGCCCACUAGACUGAAGAUGAUAAGGAGAUGCAAUUCUAUGAUUAACAUCAUACUUAGCAAGCAACUUAUGGAAAGCACCAUGAAUAAACUGUGAACCACCACCAGUCAUUAAAUAUCUAGGGAUUCCAAAUCUAGGGAAAAUAACAUCUUUCAACAUUUUAAUAGAAGUGUUAUGAUCAGCACUUCUAGUUGGAAUAGCUUCUACCCACUUAGUAACAUAAUCAACAACAACUAGAAUAUGAGUAUACCCGUUAGAUUUUCGAAAAGGUCCCAUAUAAUCAAAACCCCAAACAAUAAAUGGUUCAAUAACUAGAGAGUAAUUCAUAGGCAUUUCCUGACGUCUACUAAUAUUACCAAUUCUUUGACAUUCAUCGCAAGACAAUACAAACUUACGAGCAUCCUUGAAGAGAGUAGGCCAAUUAAAACCAGAUUGUAAUACCUUGUGUGCAAUUCUAUCUCCACCAUGAUGUCCUCCGUAGGCCUCAGAGUGACACUUGUAUAGAAUCUGUCCCAGUUCAUGCUCAGGUACACAACAUCUAAUAAUACCAUCUACUCCUAUUUUAUAAAGGUGUGGAUCAUCCCAAAAGUAAUGUCUUAAAUCAUAGAAGAACUUUUUCUUUUGUUGCUAUGUGAAACUAGGCGGGAUAAAUUUAGAAACUAUGUAAUUAGCAUAAUCAGCAUACCAAGGAGCAUUGCAUGAAGCAUUUAUGACAACUAAUUGUUCAUCAGAAAAGCUAUCGUCAAUAGGUAGUGGGUCAUCAAGAACAUUCUCUAAUCUAGACAAGUUAUCUCCUAUGGGGUUAUCAGCGUCCUUUCUAUCAAUAAUAUGCAAAUCAAAUUCUUGUAGCACAAUAACCCAUCUAGUAAGUCUACGUUUAGCAUCUUUCGUUUCCCUAAGAUACUUAAUAGCAGCGUGAUCAAUGUGAACAGUUACUUUGGAAACAACAAUAUAAGGUCUAAACUUAUCACAAGCAAACACAACUGUCGAGAGAAUGAUCCCCAGGUACCCCAAAGACGCAGAGUCGAGUGGGGUGCGUGCCCGCCCCGGCCGGCUGCUCCCAAUCCGCCCACGGCCGGCUCCUCUGUACAGCCGGCUACGCCAGCCUGACGACUAGCCGUAGUCAACUACGACGUCCCCCCCGGGCGUCGUACUGCUUCAUCUACAGUGUAACUUGUCCCCUGGGCGCUGGUUUAUAAAGUGCCCCAGGGGACAAGCAUAGCUUAGAUCCCAAGCUACUUAUAGCUUGGCAUGUAAGCUACCCAUGGUAGCUUACAUGCCAAGCAGCUUGGUAUGUAAGCUACCCACUAUAGCUUACAUACCAAGCAGCUUGGUAUGUAAGCUAUCCACUGUAGCUUACAUACCAAGCUACACAUCCAUACAAAGGGCCUCAUGCCCACCGCGUAUGGGAGGACUCUCGGAGACUCUCUCACACUCUCCCACAUACACACACUAAGACAUGAGGUCGGGAAGGAGGCACUCAACUCGCUUCCUCCUCCAAUACAGCUCCAGGAGCAACCUUCUACUGCCAAUAUACAUCAUAUACACACAUGCAGGAGUAGGGGUAUUAUCUCUCCGGAGAGCCCCGAACCUGGGUAAACCACUGCGUGCUAUUACCCUAUCCCGUCCCGGAUCCUCCACGACAGCCUUUCCCUCACCUCGAUUAGCCAUCCCAGGACAUAUGCCGUCAGGGUACCCCCUAUAUCAAAACGACGACAUUUGGCGCCCAUCGUGGGGGCCGCUGCUACUGGAACCAUGGUCCGGACGGGACCAUCUUCAUCAUCAAAACUGCGACAUCGCCGUCGUCUCCUCAGCGCUGCUCGGGGGCUCGACAUCAGCAUGCCCCAGGCGUGCUCGUGUGGGGCGAAGUGUUCGUGUCGUUCGCCUUUGGUCCGCUCCCGGGUACACCAUGUUCGGUCUCAUCCUACCCGUCAUCUCUAUGCGUUCAUGCGCGUGCACGUACGUGCACUCGUUUCUGCACGCACCCUGAGCACCGGCAAUGCCACAACGCCAGCUCCGCCCACUUCCUCAACUGCGUUGGUUCUCUGAGUGCUACUCCGGCCUCUCCGCAUCCGGUCGUUCCACCGGCUCCGUCCGGCUGGCUUCGGCCUCUUUCAUUGGCCCCGCGCCCUCGUGCCAUCCGGCUCCUCCCCGCCAGAGUGCAUGGCCACAUGCAUGGGAAUGUAAAUGGGCACAUGCAUGUUGGUCGUGUGCAUGGCCACAUGCAAGCGUGGCCGGCUGCUUGGCCUACCUUGGCUGGCUACUCAGCCGGCAGCUGAACCUGCGAUGAGUUCGCUGCCGAGUUGCCUGACUACUGGCCGGCUGCCCGGCUGUCCGACUGCCUGGCCGGCCCCCGGCUGCCGCAUUACUGGUAGCCUGAUCCGGCACCUGCAGGAAUCAAGUCGGCCAGCUUUGUCCGGCUCCGCUACAUUAAAAGAAGAAAACUACAUAUAUGUGUGGUACGUAUAGUACUACGAUGCAUGCAUGGCCAGGCCGCCUGGAUGGCUACAUGCGUGGUCAGCUAAACGGCAGCUUGGCCGGCUACAUGCCAUGGCCGGCUACGCUGCAUGCAUGCGUUCCUGGCCAGCUGCAGUACGUGCGCGUCUGGCCGGGUGCACUACAUCCGUGCAUGUUUGGUCGGCUGCAUGUCUGGCCGGCUGCAUGCCUGGCCGGCUGUUCUACGACUCCGCUCCGUGGGACUCAGCUUCAUCCACGCCUCCCGCCGGCUCCCACAUUGCUCCCGUGUCACCGCUUGGUCGAACUAUCUAUCUGUAUGCGUCGUCGUCUGGUCGGCUGGCCUGACCGUCUACUUCGACACCGGACCGACUCGGACCACCCGUCUACUUCGACAUCAGGCCGACUCCGGUCGCCCGUCUACUUCGACAUCGGGCCGACUCCGGUCGUUCAUCUGCUUCGACUCCUGGCCGGCUGGCAUACCCGCCGACCGCCAGAAGUUCGGCGGCUACACCCAGUGGGUGCCCCGGCGUUCUCGGCUAGCAAAAGGCCAGAACGGCUGCAAACCGCACCGGUCAUCAUCAACAACAACCAUCUCGCCGACUCCAAAAAGAGCAAUGUGAGAUGCCCAUCUACAUAUUUUUACACCAUGCACAAAAGACGGAUACCCCGAGUGACUCUCGGGGGCCAUCCCCGCAUUCGUUUCAGUUGCUUUACUGUUCAUCCCGGCGCCAGCUAGUCUCGCCCGGGGCCGGCCGCUUGGCUCGAUAUGUUCGUUUCAUGGGGCGGCUUAGUAGCCUGUACGGUACCGAAGGCCCACUCUUUGUCUCAGCUACAGACCGUACCGCGGCUGUCCGGCUAGCGAGAGCAAAAGCUGGAGGUCACCACACGCGAAAAACGCUCAGGGAAAAAACGGCUUGGGCGACACGGCCGCUUCCUUCAUAAAAUUUAUACCCGGUUGAGCCUGCUCCCGGAGUCAGAGUACUGUGCUCCCUUCUCUGUGUCCCACUCUUCGUCUCAGCUACAGACCGUAUCGCGGCUGUCCGGCUAGCAAGAGCAAAAGCCAAAGAGCCGAGGGGACACGAAAUGACCCAAAUGGCUCAGGCGACAUCGAGUUGACAUUCCACCCGCAUAAAACUUGCGCGGACAAAAUUAAAUAUUUGAUAAAUAUGCGCCGACUAACUUUGUCUCUUGCACGGUCAUCUUCGUGGCGAAUCACCAUUGCAUGCCGGCUACCGGCCGCUGGCUGCAGACUGCCAGCCACCGGUGGCUGGGUGUAGGCUGCAACUCUCGCCGGCUAGACUGUCCGGCUAGGACCCUGGCCGGUUGGAGGCCUGGCCGACGGGAGUCUGUCCGGCUGGAGCACACUCAAGAUAGCUAUGCCGGCUGCAGUAUGUAGCCGACCGCCAUCGGCAACUCAUUUGCUACAACAACAGCAAGAAGCCUCCGCACGACUCUCCAAGUCGCCCGGAGGCUCGGAGGCUACACCCAGCGGGUGCGCCUGCGCGCCCCCGAUGGAAACAGCCAGCCGGUGGACCACGCGUCUGCACCCUGCAGUGCCUCGCGCAUCGAUCGGCGGACAUUGCGUCCUCGCCCGACAUCCCCGACGCUACCGUCCACUCCAGCACCUACAAAGACCCUCCGCCUGACUGUUCGAGUCGCCCGGAGGCUACACCCAGCGGGUGCGCUGGCGCGCCCCCGCCAAAAACAAGCCACGCCGUUCCCGGCUUGCAAUCGACCGUCAUCGACAACUUCUGCAUCAACAACGAAUGCGAAAACCCUCCGUCCGGCUCUUUGAGUCGCACGGAAGCUCGGAGGCUACUGUCGGGGGAAUGAUCCCCAGGUACCCCAAAGACGCAGAGUUGAGUGGGGUGCGUGCCCGCCCCGGCCGGCUGCUCCCAAUCCGCCCACGGCCGGCUCCUCUGUGCAGCCGGCUACGCCAGCCUGACGACUAGUCGUAGUCAACUACGACGUCCCCCCGUGCGUCGUACUGCUUCAUCUACAGUGUAACUUGUCCCCUGGGCGCUAGUUUAUAAAGUGCCCCAGGGGACAAGCAUAGCUUAGGUCCCAAGCUACUUAUAGCUUGGCAUGUAAGCUACCCACUGUAGCUUACAUACCAAGCAGCUUGGCAUGUAACUAUCCACUGUAGCUUACAUACCAAGCUACACAUCCAUACAAAGGGCCUCAUGCCCAUCGCGUAUGGGAGGACUCUCGGAGACUCUCUCACACUCUCCCACAUACACACACUAAGACAUGAGGCCAGGAAGGAGGCACUCACCUCUAUUCCUCCUCUAAUACACCUCUAGGAGCAACCUUGUACUACCGAGAUACAUCAUAUACACAAAUGUAGGAGUAGGAGUAUUAUCUCUCCGGAGAGCCCCGAAUCUGGGUAAACCACUUCGUACUAUUACCCUAUCCCGUCCCGGAUCCUCCACGACAGCCUUUCCCUCACCUCGAUUAGCCAUCCCCUGGCAUAUGCCGUCUGGGUACCCCCUAUAUAGAAACGACGACAACAACUGCUAAAACUUCCUUUUCAGUGGUAGCAUAGUUUCUUUGGGCAUUGUCUAGAGUUUUACUAGCGUAAUGGAUGACAUUUAAUUUCUUAUCAACUCUUUGCCCUAGAACAACACCAACAACAUAAUCACUAGCAUCAGACAUAAUUUCAAAGGGUAGGUUCCAAUCACGUGGUUGAACAACAGGUGCGGUGAUCAAGGCUCUCUUAAGAAUUUCAAAUGCUUCUAAACAAUCAUCAUAAAAAACGAAUGGAACAUCCUUUUGCAAAAGAUUAGUGAGAGGCUUAGAAAUCUUAGACAAGUCUUUAAUAAAUCUCCUAUAAAAACCAGCAUGACCAAGGAAACUUCUUAUACCUUUGAUAUCUGUUGGACAUGACAUUUUUUCAGUAGCAUCAACUUUAGCUUUAUCAACUUCAAUACCUCUUUUGGAGAUUUUGUGUCCCAAGAUAAUGACGUUAUUAACCAUAAAGUGGUACUUCUCCCAAUUCAAGACAAGAUUAGUUUAUGCACGUCUCUGCAAAACUCGAUCAAGGUUGCUCAAGCAAUCAUAAAAAGAAGUUCCAUAAAUGGAAAAAUCAUCGAUGAAAACCUCAACAAUAUUUUCACAAAAGUCAGAGAAUAUAGCCAUCAUACAUCUUUGAAAGGUAGCACGUGCAUUGCAUAAACUGAAAGGCAUAUGUCUAUAAGCAAAGGUACCGAAAGGGCAAGUAAAAGUGGUCUUCUCUUGAUCCUCUUUUGAUACAGGUAUUUGAGAGAAGCCAAAAUAACCAUCUAGAAAGUAAUAAUGUGUAUGUUUGGAUAGUAUUUCUAGCAUUUGAACAAUAAAAGGUAGCGGGUAAUGAUCUUUCCUAGUAGCUUUAUCUAAUUUCCUUGAAUCAAUUACCAUUCUAUAUCUUGUAACAAUUCUUUGUGGGAUCAAUUCAUAUUUAUCAUUAGGAACAACGUGAGUACCUCCCUUUUUAGGGACACAAUGAACGGGGCUAACCCAUCUACUAUCAGCAAUAGGAUAAAUUAUACCUGCCUCCAGAAGCUUUGGUAUUUCAUUUCUUACCACUUCCUUCAUUUUAGGAUUUAAUCGUCGUUGGUGAUUAACAACAUGUUUAGUAUCAGGCUCCAUAUUGAUUUUGUGCUGACAUAGAGUGGGACUAAUACCCUUAAGAUCAUCAAGAGUUUAUCCAAUAGCAGCACGGUGCUUCCUCAGAGUUUUCAAUAAUCUCUUUUCUUCAUGCUCUGAAAGGUUAGCACUAAUAAUAACAUGAUAUAUCUCGUUUUCAUCAAGAUAAGCAUACUUAGGAGUAUCAGGUAAUUGUUUAAGCUCAAACACGGGAUCAUCCAUUGGUGGAGGAGGAUCCCCAAGUAUUUCAACAUGUAGGUUGUGUUUCAGAAUAGGCUGUUGAUCAAAGAAAAUCUUAUCUAUUUCAUUCCUUUCAAUCAUAUGCAUAUCAUUUUCAUGGUCUAGCAAAUAUUGUUCUAAGGGAUUAGUAGGAGACACAACAAUAGAAGUGAGACCAAUAAUUUCAUAUUUACUAGGUAAUUAUUUGUCAUGGGGUUGUCUACGAAAUUAAGAGAAAUUGAACUCAUGAGAUGCAUCCCCAAAACUUAGAGUAACCGUUUCUUUUUCACAAUAAAUCUUAGCAUUAAUAGUAUUCAAGAAGGGUCUGCUGAAUAUAAUGGGACAAAAAUCAUCUUGUGGGGAACCAAGAACAAGAAAAUCAGUAGGAUACUUUAUUUUCCCACACAAGACUUCAACAUCUCUAACAAUAACAAUUGGUGAAAUACUAUCUCUAUUAGCAAGCUUGAUGGUAACAUCGAUUUCCUCUAAUUCGGCUGGUGCAAUAUCAUUCAUAAUAUCUUGGUAUAAGGUAAAGGGAAUUGCACUCACACUAGCACCCACAUCACAUAAGCCAUGAUAACAAUGAUAUCCUAUUUUAAUGGAAACAAUAGGCACGCUAGCAAUAGGUCUAUGUUUACCCUUAGUAUCAGGUCUACAAAUUCUAGCGGCUUCAUCACAGAAGUGAAUGGCAUGCCCAUCAAUAUUAUCAACCAAGAGAUCUUUAACCAUAGAAAUAUUAGGUUCAACUUUAAUUUGUUCAGGAGGUAUAAGUGUUCUAGUACAACUCUUACGAACCACAGUUUAAGCUUUAGCAUGUUACUUUAUCCUAACAUGAAAGGGUGGUUUCUCAAUAUAAGCAGUAGGAAUUACACGAUCAACAUUAUAAAUAGUAGUUUCUUCUUCAACUUUAAUAGGUUCUACCACUUUAAAUUCAAUGUGAGGAUGAUAUUCAAACCACUUCUCCUUGGGGAGAUAAACAUGAGUAGCAAAAGAUUCACAGAAUGAAGCUACUACCUCAGAGUCAAGUCCAUAUUUAGUGCUAAAAUCACGAAAAGCAUUGGUGUCUAUAAAGGAUUUAACACAAUCAAACUUAAGGCUUAUACCUCACUCAUUACCUUCAUAGAGUUACAAAUCUUAAUAGUUGUGUUUAAUUCUUUCCAAUAAGUCCCAUUUGAAUUCAAUAUCUUUCUUCAUAAAGGAACCAACACAAGAAGUGUCGAUCAUGGAUUAAUCAUUACGAGAGAGCCGAGCAUAAAAAUUCUGAAUAAUAAUUUCUAUCGGGAGCUCAUGAUUGGGGCAUGAAUAUAACAUUGACUUAAGACUGCCCCAAGCUUGAGGGAUUCUUUCUUCUUCACGAGGCCAAAAAUUAUACAUAUAAUUCCGAUCACAAUGAACCAGAUGCAUAGGAUAAAAGUUCUGAUGAAAUUCCAAUUUCAAUCGGUUCUAGUUCCAUGAUCCAAUGUCAUCACAUAGCCUAUACCAUGUCAACGCCUUUUAUUUCAAAUAUAAAGGAAAGACCUUGUUAUUGACAUCAUCCUCGGGCAGACCUGCAAGCUUAAAUAAUCCACAAACUUCAUCCACAUAGAUUAGGUGCAAAUCAGGAUGUAGUGUUCCAUCUCCUCAUAAGGAUUAGCUAACAGUUUUUCUAUCAUACUCGAAGGAAUUUCAUAAUAAAUAGUUUCAGUAGGUGCAGCAGGCUAAGGAGCAUAUCUUUGUGCUUCCGGUCGCGGUGAAGAUACCCCAAACAAGCCCCUCAAAGGAUUAUUUUCCAUACUGACAAGUGACAGUAAAUUUCUGCACAGUAAUUUUUCCACUCACCAAAGGCGCUUUACUCCACGGCAAUAGCGCGAGAAAAGAGUCUUGAUGACCCACAAGUGUAGGGGAUCUAUCAUAGUCCUUUUAAUAAGUAAGAGUGUCGAACCCAACGAGGAGCAGAAGGAAAUGACAAGCGGUUUUCAGUAAGGUAUUCUCUGCAAGCACUAAAAUUAUUGGUAACACAUAGUUUUGUGAUAAGGUAGUUCAUAACGGGUAGCAAGUAACAAAUGUAACAAUGGUGCAGAAAAGUGACCUAAUCCUUUUUGUAGCAAAAUACAAGCCUGAACAAACUCUUAUAUAAAGAAAAGUGCUCCCGAGGACACAUGGGAAUUUAUGUCAAGCUAGUUUUCAUCAUGCUCAUAUGAUUCACGUUCAUUACUUGGAUAAUUUGAUAUGUGGGUGGACCGGUGCUUGGGUGCUGCCCUUACUUGGACAAGCAUCCCACUUAUGAUUAACCUCUCUCGCAAGCAUCUGCAACUACGAAAGAAGAAUUGAUAUAAAUCUAACCAUAGCACGAAUCAUUUGGAUCCAAAACAACCCCUUACAAAGCAACGCAUAAACUAGGGUUUAAGAUUAUGUCACUCUAGCAACCCAACAUCUACUUAUUGUUGGGUAACGUUGCAUGGGAAACAAAAAAAUUCCUACGCACACGAAGACCUAUCAUGGUGAUGAUCAUCUACGAGAGGGAGAUCGGAUCUACAUACCCUUGUAUAUCGCUAAGCGGAAAGCGUUAAGAAGCGCGGUUGAUGUAGUGGAACAUCUUCAUGAUUCAAAUCACCGUCGUCCCAUGAUCCGUCCCGAUCUAGUAUCGAACGGAUGACACCUCCGCGUUCAGCACACGUACAACUCGAUGACGAUCUCCGCCUUCUUGAUCCAGCAAAAGAUACGGGGAAGUAGAUGAGUUCUCUGACAGGGUGAUGGUGCGCCGGUGGUGUUGGUGAUCUAUUCCUGCAGGUCUUCGCCUAAGCACCGCAUAAAUCCGAUCUAGAGGAAGAACUACGAACUAGAGGAGAGGGUUGCACGUGGCUGAAAUUGUGUCUCAAAAACCCUAAAACCUCUAAUAUAUAUAGGAGGAAGGAGGGGCUAGCCUUGAGCCCCAAGGAGAGCCUCCUUGGGCUCGGCCGGUGCUAGGGAGGAGGAGUCCUCCUCCAAUCCUACUUGGAGUAGGACUCCUCCCCAAGUUGUCCACCUCUUUUGGUUUUUUUCCACUUUUACCUCAUGUGCUUUCGUUGGUUCAUCAGUCAGCCCACUAAGAGCUAUUGCGCCACCAUCAAGUCCAUGUGGCCCUCUUGGGGAGUGGUGGGCCCACCUGGUGGGCCCCCAAGACCCAUUUGUCACUCCCGGUACACUGUCGGCAAUGCCUAAAAUUCUUCCGGAAUCCAAAUACCAACUUCCUACAUAUCAAUUUUCGUUUCCGGACCAUUCCAGAAACCCUCAUGACGUCCGGGAUCUCAUCCGGGACUCCGAAAAAAACUUCGGUCACCAGCACCUAUAACUCAGCUAUACCGAAACGUCACCGAACAUUAAGUGUGCAGACCCUGCGGGUUCGAGAACUAUGCAGACAUGACCUGAGACACUCCCUGGUCAAUAUCCAACAGCAGGACCUGGAUGUCCAUAUUGGAUCCUACAUAUUCUACGAAGAUCUUAUCGGUUGAACCUCUAUGCCAAGGAUUCAUAUAAUCCCGUAAGCCAUUCCCUUUGUCCUUUGGUAUGUUACUUUCCCGAAAUUUGAUCGUCAGUAUCUCUAUACCUAUUUCAAUCUCGUUACCGGCAAGUCUCUUUACUCGUUCCGUAAUACAAGAUCCCGUGAGUAACUCUUUAGUCACAUUUCUUGCAAGGCUUAUAUGUGAUGUUGUAUUACCGAGUGAGCCCCGAGAUACCUCUCCGUCACACCGAGUGACAAAUCCAAGUCUUCAUCCAUGCUAACUCAACGGACACCUUCGAAGAUGCCUAUAGAGUACCUUUAUAGUCACCGAGUAACGUUGCAACAUUUGAUACACACAAGGCAUUCCUCCGGUGUCAGUGAGUUACAUGAUCUCAUGGUCAUAGGAAUGAAUACUUGACAUGCAGAAAACAAUAGCAACAAAAUGAUAGGAUCAUAUGCUACGUUCGUAGUUUUGGUCUUGUCCAUCACAUCAUUGUCCUAAUGAUGUGAUCCCGUCAUCAAGUGACAACACUUGUCUAUGGCUAGGAAACAUUAACCAUCCUUGAUCAACAGGCUAGUCAACUAGAGAAUCACUAGGGACAUAGUUUUGUCUAUAUAUCCACACAGGCAUUUAUGUUUCCAUUCAAUAUAGUUAUAGCAUGGACAAUAAAAGAUUAUAUUGAAACAGGAAUUGUAAUUAUAAAUAUUUCAUUAUUGUCUCUAGGGCAUAUUUCCAACGCUUAUUACUUCCCAAUUCCUUCCUCUAGGCCUAAAUAAUGGUGAAGUGUCAUGUAGUCGACGUUCACAUGACACCACUAGAGGACAGACAACAUAUAUCUUAUAAAAAUAUCGAACGAAUACCAAAUUCACAUGAUUACUUGUAACAAUACUUAUCCUAUGUCCUCAGGAAUAAACGUAACUACACACAAAGCAUAUUCAUGUUCAUAAUUAGAGGAGUAUUAAUAAUCAUUAAGGAUUUGAACAUAUAAUCUUCCACCAAAUAAACCAACUAGCAUCAACUACGAGGAGUAAUCAACACUACUAGCAACCCACACGUACCAAUCUGAGGUUUUGAGACAAAGAUCGGAUACAAGAGAUGAACUCGGGUUUGGAGAGGAUAUGGUGUUUAUGGAGAUUGACCCCCUCUCGAUGAGAGGAUCGUUGGUGAUGACGAUGGAUUUGAUUUCCCCCUCCAGGAGGGAAGUUUCCCCGGCAGAAUAGCUCCACGGGAGCUCUAGAUUGGUUAUGUCGAAGUUACGCCUCAAGACGGUGGCGCCUCGUUCUGAAAGGUCUGAUAUGAUUUUUUCCAGGUCAAAACCCUUCAUAUAGCAGAAGAUGGGCACCGGAGGCCUGCCAGGGGGCCCACAAGCCUGCAUGGCGCGGCUAGGGGGGUAGGUCACGCCCCCUAGCUUGUGACCUCCUGGUGGGUCCCCUCUGGUAUUUCUUUCGCCCAUUAGUUUUUAUAUAUUCCAAAACAAUUCUUCGUAACGUUUCACGACUUUUGGAGCUGUGCAAAAUAGGUCUCUCAGAUUUGCUCCUUUUCCAGUCCAGAAUUCCAGGUGCCGGCAUUCUCCCUCUUCAUAUAAAUCUUGUAAAAUAAGAGAGAAAAAUGCAUAAGUAUUGUACCAUAAUGUGUAUUAACAGCCCAUAAUGCAAUAAAUAUUGAUAUAAAAGCAUGAUGCAAAAUGGACGUAUCAAGCAGCAUGUUCAUCAGUUGCACGUUCUUCAUCUUCAUGAGCCGGGUCUAUAGUGUAUCUGGCCUGAGGAAUUGAUGCUUGCGCUGGGACUUCAACCCUGCUGUUGUACUCAGCAAUGGCGUAAGUAGCAGCCUUGACAAAACGCACUUUGACGCCCUUACUUUCAGCUUGAAGACUUGUGUAUUUGUUAGUGAGGGUUUUCAGCUCAUCUUGAGUGGCUACAAGUUGCUCUGGCGUCAAGGUUAGAAGAUUUUGUUGCAAAAACUUCUCCUUUUGAACCUUUUCUCUCUGAGCUUGCUUGGCUUGUUGAGCCUUCCAUUUUUUUUGUUGAUGAAUGAGGUCACCAUGUGACUGGGUCCGGGUGCAAGGUGCAAGUCAUCAAUGGGUGUGUUGGGAUCUUUGUACCAAAGAUCGAAGAAAUCCAGUAUCACCUUCGGAUCCAGUGCGAGAGGAAUGGUGGAACCCUUAGCUUGUGCAACCCUUUCUUGGUUGUUUCUGAUGAUGGCUUGAAGGGUUUCCUCAUCAUAUUCUGUUAGGACUGGGCCUAAUUCCUUGCCCAACAGUCGUCUUUGUCUUCAAUAUGCCACUUGAGGAUUUGUGGGUAGUACCUGAGGCUGAUGGUUUUGAGGGAAUUGAGGUCCAAGUUGGUUGCUCACUGGACUAGGGCUGCAGAGGGGGUGAAGACUUUGCUGCAGUUGUGGACUUUUCAGCCAUAGUUGAUUCUACGUGAGGAAUUUGUUGUUUGGACAUUGUUAUUGAGGACUUUGGUUUGACACCAGAUUUCUUCACCAGUGCCUUCUUGGGAGGUUGUUGUGUUGUAGAAGCCUCGGCAACACAGGAGGGGGCAGCAUCAGCUGCAGCAGUAGAAUCCUCAGUGAGCUUGUUUGGUGCUUUGUUGUCAUUUUUCCUCAGUUUUGCCAAAUACUUGGCCUUCUCAUCAGGAUAGUCUUCAAUUGUGAGCAUGCUUGAGGGAUGGGCAAUUUGUUGCUGUUCCAGAGGUGGUCUGGAGCAAGGAGGCUUGACGGCAAACUUCCUGGCAUAUUUAGGAGUGACAUACAUGUAUCUCUUCCACUCCUGAGCCCAUCUCCUUUCAAUCUUUUGAAGCCUGAUCAAGCUUACUUUGAGAAAAUACAUAGGAAAGCUUCUCAUGAUCAGCCAAGAGUGUACCAUAACGAUCUUGAAGACUAUCAAAUCUAAACUAAAGACUUUGAGCAUCUUUGGUGAGGAUUUGAGUACGAUUCAUUUCAUCAUUCAACAGAUAAUCGCUUUUGUCUAGUAGUUUCUGAAGCUUUUCAAUAGCACUUUGUUGCUUAGUGGAAAUGUUAGCAAGUUUAUAGUAACUAGGUUUUUUAUAAUCAUCAGGUUAACAGUCACUAGAAUCAGAGGAUGUGUGGCUUGGUACCUUUGAACCUUUUGCCAUGAAGCAAUAGGUGGGAGCAAAGUCAUCAUCAAACUCAUCCGUGUUGUUGAUGUUGUCAUUUUCUUCAAGGUUGAAGAUGGACUUGCUCACAAAUGUGGUAGCUAGUGCAAGACUUGCCACACCAGACUCUGACUCCACUUCUGAACCUUCAUCUUCCUCACAUUCCUCAGAUUCUGCUUCAGAAUCCAUCUCCUUGCCAAUGAGUGCCCGAGCCUUUCUGAAAUUGAUCUUCUUUUGCAAUGAGGACUUUGAAGAUGAAGACUUUGAGGAUUUCUUCUUUUUUCCUUGAGUCGUCAGAGCUUUCAUCAUUGUACUUCUUCUUCCUUGAUUACUUCACCCAGGGAGGACAAUCAACAAUGUAGUGACUAAAUUUCUUGCAUUUAUGACAGGUUCUCUUCUUGUAGUCCUCACGUGAAGAUUAUGAUUUCCUCAUAUCUCUUCUUGAAGACUUUCUGAAUUGGCCACGCUUUAUGAACUUCUAGAAUUUCCUCACGAGCAUAGCAAGUUCGUGACCAAGUUCUUUAGGAUCAGCCAGACUGCAGUCAGAUUCUUCUUCUUCAGAUCAGGAAACAUCCUUUGCCUUCAAUGCAUGAGGUCUUGAGUAGCUUGGUCCAUAAAGGUAUCUCUUCUCUUCUAGUUGAAAUUCAUGAGCAUUGAGUCUCUCAAAUAUAUCAGCACGAUCAAGCAUCUUGUAGUCUCUUUGUUCUUGGAUCAUCAGAACCAGUGUGUCAAAUGAUGGAUCAAGAGAUCGUAGCAAUUUCUUCACGACAUCAUGGUCUGUGAUGUCUCUGGCUCCAAGAGCCUGAAGCUCAUUGGAGAUGUCAAUGAGGCAAUCAAAGGUAUCUUGACAGCUUUCAUUAUCCAGUCUCUUGAAGCGGUUGAAGAGAUUGCGAAGAACAUCAACUCGAGAGUCACGAUGUGUGGAGCUCCCUCAUUGACUUUGGACAGGCUUUCCGAGAUUAAUUUCACAGAGCCCAAAGCACUCACUCUAACAUACUGUCCUUUGCUCACAUGGCCACAUAUGAUAGUAUUCGCUUGUGAGUUGAGUUGCUUGAAUUUCUUCACAUCAUCAGCAAUGAUAGUUGAAGUGACACAGGGAACACCAUUUUCCACAAUGUACUAGAGAUCAUUGUCAAUUGCUUGAAGGUGCAUUUGCAUCUUGUUCUUCCAGUAGGGGAAGUUCUUUCCUUCGAAGGUAGGACAGCGUGCAGUAACCUUGAUCAUACAUGUGGUUGACAUAACUAAAACUCCACGCGGUUAAACCAAAAUCACAUAGAACAAGGGAGUACCUUGCUCUGAUACCAACUGAAAGUGUGUUAUAUCGACUAGAGGGGUGUGAACAGGCCAUUUUUACAAAUUCAUCACUGAGGAAAUUCCUAGUGAGGAAAGUCCUCAGUCAUGAACUGAGUGUAGUGGAAAUAGUACUAAGACAGAUGUGCAAAAGUGACUACAACAAAGUACUCAGAGUGAAUUGAUAGGUUUAGUUUGCACAGGUCAUGUAUACAGGAUAAGCAGGUGAUGAAUAACUAAGGUGAAGAAUUUGAGGUGAGAAAUUAGGAGAAAGUCUUCACUCAAAUUCUUCAAAUAGUGGAGAUCAAAGUCUUCAACCUGAAAUUGAGGAAAUGGAAAAGGUUGAAGAAAUGGAAGCAGUAGCUCGAUGAAGACAGUUGUUAAUGACCCAAUUCCAACUGUUGUGAUAGUUGUACGUAUGGUUUGGAGCGGCUUGGUAUUGAAAUCAAAGGACACACAGUUCCGGGACACACAGUCCCUACCAUAUUCUCCUUGAGCUAAGGACACACAGUCCUCCCGCAACACUCGUAGUAAAUCUUUAGGGUAGACUUCCAAACCUUCACAAACUCGAUCACCCGGCGAUCCACAAUUGAUUGUUGCAUGCUCUAGACCAUGACGCCUAACCGUAUGGAGGAUGCACAGUCCUCAAAGGUAAAAAGUGUCGGUUCCACACAGUAACAAUCUCUUCAGUGAUGCUCAAUCACUUUGGGUUUUGGGUUUUGGUUUGGGUGUUUGGGGUUUUUCCUCACUUGAUGAUUUUCGCUCAAGGUCCUCGAGGAAUUGGGUUGCUCUAAAUGACAUGUGUCAUAUUCUCUCGGAGCAGCCAACCAGCCAGUGGUUGAGGGACCGGCUAUUUAUACCCGAGAGCAUCCUACAUUAUAUGACAUUAUUCCUUAAUAAAUUGACCGUUGGGUGGAUAAGAUUGGGGAGAAGUGGCGAGCAGCGUGGCAACGGUCGGAACUUUCAAAUGUGAAAGUCCUCAUGUCUCUCAUGUUCCUCACUUUGAGGAUCUGGUAGGUAUAGGUUUGAGUUGAGCAUCAUGAGGAAAUUAUUUCCUUAGUUUUACCUUGACCCCCUUUAGCAGUACGGUGUUCCUAUGACUCAAGAAUGAAGAAAAUGAAACAGAAAGAGUAAAUCUUCAAGCUUCAAAGUCUUCACACCAUUUUAUUCGGGACACACCGAAUUCCUCAUCUUCAAUGUGUUCAUGAGGAAUAUCAAUUUAUUUGCAAUUUCUUUGCGAUCAAAGUAUUCAAGGAAUGACCAAAGUCUUCACCCGAAGACAUACAUUUUUAGGGGUCGGUAUUCAUCGAAUAACUCAAACUCCUCAGCGACUUAUAGAACUUGUGUACACUCACAAACAUAUCAGUCUCCUAACCUAUAAGUCUUCAAUCCACCAAAAUCACUAAGGGGCACUAGAUGCACUUACAAAAAGCUAGAUGAAAAUUUACUACAACAAGCAGCCCAAGAAGUAAUACUACCUUUAGGCAAAGCAAAAAUCCAUUCCUUAGCUUUUCCAUUCAAAGAGAAAGGAAAUAAGUGAUGUUCCAAAGCAUUUGGGUCAUACUACUUUAUGCGUGUCUUGUUGCACAAUUCAAUAAAAUUAUGUAACUGCAUACUUUCAUCUUCAGAAGCAGAGCCUCCAAAUUUGUCAUGUUGAACCAUGUAAACUAGGUUCGAUUUGAUCUCAUAUUUUGCACGUGCAACAUCAGGUUACGCUAUUGGUUCAAGCAUAAAAUUGUUGCUAGGAGUAGCAAAACUCCCAAGAUUAUGACCCGUAGUAAAUUUUUGGUAUUUAUAACUUAAAAAUAUGCAACAAUAUAAGAAUUAAACUAAAACUGAAAUACUAAGAAAGAACUGGAAAUUAACUUUAACAAAGAAAUCUAAACACAAAGACUAGGAAUACUAAACUCCUCGAAAGUGCUAUUCUGAGCUCGAGCUCAAAUGCUCUUAGAUGAACAAUAAAUCCGAAAAAAUAGUAAAAUGUUUCAAAAAAUUAUAAAAUUUUGUUACAAAAAACAUUUAUGUUUUUCCUACAUGCAUGCAAAAAUUUAUAUCGGAAUCACAUUCCUGGAGGUGUAGACAAAAAAAAUUGAUGCUCCAAAAUGCUUUCAAAAACACUAUUUUUUAAGCAUUGAUUUUGUUUUUUUGGCCCACCCCUCCACAAAUGUUAUUUCAUCAUGAAAUUUUGCACGCAUGUAGUAAUCAUAUCAAUGUUUCGUUUCCCAAAAGUUCAGAAUUUUUCGAUUUUCUUACUAUAUUUAUCGAUUUUACUAUCCAUCCAGGAGUAGAUGAGCUCGAGCUCGUAUACUCUCCUUUUUAUUGAUCUGAUAUUGGAAGAAGAAAGGAUAUCACACACCUAUUUCCCAGAGGUGACCCUAAGUAUCAAACCCACGAGAGGAAGAUUCCCUUAAACCAAAUGUACCUAGCAAGCUUUUGUUGAAGUGUCAAAUCAAGCUUUUGACCGGAUCAACAAGCAAACUGUGAUUCAAAAACUUAUAAUAAAAAUAAGGUACGUGGAUGAGGUCUUAAUUCUUACAACCCAUCAAGAGGUGCUUGCUUUGUAUCGGAGGGGGUAUGUCCAAAUAACAUCUUGAUGAGCACGAGUCGUGCAUCAAGAACCAGUUGUCCUAGUGAAGUCCCUAUCAGUCUUUAUAUGAUUAUGGAUCAUAAUUUCCUAUUAGUGUUUAUAUGAUUAUGGAUCAUUAUUCCACUUUAUGAUACAAUUCUUGUGCCAUUUCUCUCUGAAUUUACAAGGUCGACCAUAAAGAGGGAAAUUGCACGAAACUCAAAUUAUGGACCGAAAAAAAGAAAAGGCUGAAAAUUCACUAGACUCCAAAUGGCCUAAAACUUCACGAGGAAGUUUUCUGGAAUAUAUAUGAAUUUAUGGAGAACAAAUAUACUAUAGGGGGGCUACGUAUUGGUGCCAAGCCAACAUGAAAGUGUGUUAUAUCGACUAUUGUGACCGUUUGGUGGAUAAGAUCUGUGAGGUGGCGCGUGUCGCGGCAACGGUCAGAACUUUCAACUCUGAAAGUCCUCAUGUCUCUCAUAUUCCUCACUUGAGGCUUUUGUAGGAUUAGGCUUGGGUUGAGCAUCAUGAGGAAAUUCAUUCCGUAGUAUUACCUCAACCCCCAUUAACAGUACGGUGUUCCUAAGACUGAAGAGUACAAAAAACGAAACAGAAAGAGUAAGUCUUCACGCUUCGAAGUCUUUAGGCAGUUUUUCUUCACGACACACUGAAUUACUCAUCUUCAAUAUCUUCAUUAGGAUUAUCAAUUUGAUCGCAAUUUCUUCGUGAUCAAAGUCUUCAAGCUUAGACCAAUUUCUUGAGCCGAAGACAUACAUUUUCAGGGGUCGAUAUCCAUCAUAUAACUCAAACUCCUCAGCGACUUAUAGAGCCUGUGUACACUUCACAUUAGUUACUUAACCUAUAAGUCUUCAAACCACCAAAAUCACUAAGGGCACUAGAUGCACUUACAAUCUCCCGCUUUUUGGUGGUUGAUGACAAUUAGGUUAAGUUUUCAACGGGGAUAAAAAAUAUGAACUGUAAAUACUGAGUUUGAGGAAUUUGAAAUCAAGAUAGUGAGAGACUUCCCCUGAAGAUGUGCAUAUUUUGAGGAAUUUGCUUUUCACAGCAGAUGCACAUUGAUGAUUUAUAUCAUGGAGAUCUCCCACUGUAUCUUGUAAAUCAUGCAUACAAUUGCCAUAUAAAGUGAGGAAUUUGAGAAUGCAUGAUGAGGAAUGGUGUCUGACAAAUUUCAGCAUGCCUGCAUUAAUAUACUUUGAGGAAUAAGCAUGCGAAGAAAAACGUUCAAAAGAGUCAGAGCACCAUCGGGCUUAAGUUACAACUCAUUACAUAAAACACUUCAGAAGAACCAAGAGUUUGUAACUUAAUAAUGUUUAUAAGCCACAAAAUAGAUCCCGCUUGAAGACUAACUCAGAUUUCUCCCCCUUUAUCAUCAAGUGACGGAAAGGGACAAAACAGAGGACUAACGCCCUUUGAAGAAAUUCACUUCUUGGCUGAUGAAGAGGCAUGAGGAUUCUUGGCGACGGGCUUCUUCCUUGGACCAGUUGUAGUGUCUUUUGGUUCUUCAUCUGACUCAGCAGUGCGGAAUGAAGAAAAAGAACUGUCCUCAAGGUCAUGAACUAGAAUUGGCUUGAGUUUCUUCUUGGGAGGCCACGACCAGUCGAAGUCUUGAUUAAACUCCAAUUCCUCAAGUUCCUCUUGAGUCUUCAGAUGAGCCAAGGUGGCCCAGGUUCAAUCAAACACCUCAUGAAGAUAAUAGUGAUUUUUCCUCAUUGCGUUCCGAGUCUCGUUGAGGGUUUUCACAAUGGCACUGAAUUGUCGUUUAACCCAUUUGUGAUUGUGAUCGACCUUCUGAUGAAGACUGAGGAGUAGCUCUCUGUUAUUCAUCACUCUGGGGGCAGUUGGGCUUGGAGGAUCUUGGGUAGCAGUGUCAUCAUAUGAAGAAUAUGACUCUGCUUGGCGAGACUGGCCAUCAAGGGGCCAAUUUCCUUCAUCAAUCACUGAUUUUCCUUUGCCUUCAACAGGCUCAAAUGUUUUCUUGAUGAUUCUGAUUGGCGGUAGAUAUCGGAUGUGAUUCAAAAAAUCUACAUGGUAGUUCAUGCCUGACCUGCUUCUGAUGAAUCUCAUGAUCCAUGGUGCAUAAAUCUUCAUUUCAAAAGGGGGCAGUGCGUUAUCAGCCAAAGUCCUCAGGAAGAAAUCAUGAAGAUUCAUUGGUAGGCCAUAGAUGACACUGAAGAGGAUAUUCUUCAUGAUGCCUACGACAUCUUCUUCAUCAUCGUGCCCUUUGAUAGGAGCAAUGACAUUUGCCAGGAUUCUAUAGACUGUUCGUGGUUCAUACCUCAAGUCUUGUACUAUAAAUCGAGUUCGUGGAGGUUGGUCCUUGGCCAAAGGCUUCAUGAGGACUUCCAUUAGUCUGUUGGGCAGUUCACUUUCAUCAUACAUCAGCAUUGCAUCCUCUCAGGGAAUUGAGAUUGGAAUAGCUCAAAGCAAUUCAGUGGCACGCGCUUUGUAGUGCGUGCACUGAGUCAUCCAAUCAAAAACCCAAGUGUUGACAUCCUUUGGGUCACCAGAGAUGUGCAGAGUGGCGUAGAACUGAAGAAUGAUGUCGUUGUUCCAGUCACCAAUGUCAGUGCAGAGAGGCAGUAAUCCAUCUUUGUGAAGAACAUUGAGGACUGGAGUGAAGCAAGGUAUUUCCUCCAUAUCACAGUGAGGAAUAUGUUUAUGCUAAAAUAUCUUGUUCCUCCCACAAAGCACUAAAUCAUAGUAGUUGAGUUGGUUCCUUGUCCAAAACUUCUUGUGCCUGAUGUGAAGCUUGUCAUAUAGAUUCUCGCCAGUAAAGUACAUGCGUUCUUCAUAGAAUGCCUCCUUUUGAAACUUUGGCCUUUUGGAGAAAGGCUGAUUGUGCUGCGGUUGAAGAUUAUGUUGUUGUUCUUGAGGAGGAGCCACUAUCAUUGUUGUUUCUUUGUUUACCACAACAAUAGCAGUUUCAGUGUUUGGGACAGGAGCAUUUUCUUCAUUCUGAGCAUUUUCAUCAGGUUGAGGAUUUUCCUCAGCUUGAGGAAUUUGCUUGUUGGAGGAGGCAGUUGUAGCAUUUGUCGCUGCAUUGUCUUCAGCCGAUGUGGCUGAUUCUUGAGCAGAUUCCUCACAGAAGGUCUUCCCAUCAUAGCAUGUGAAGAUUUUUGUUGCAGCAAGAUUCGGCGGAAUAUGAGUUGACCUCGGUGAGCGAUGAGUUUCUUCCAGAAGUCAUCAUGAAUCACUCGAGUGUUGCACCCAGUUUCAUCAUCACCCACACAUUCUUCAGAGGUCUUUUGAGGAAUGGUGGAUUGAGGAAUAUCAUGAAUCAGUACUUCCUCAUCUAUGAUUUCUUCAUCUUCCGUGUCUUUCAUUUCUUCAUCAUCUUCACGAAUGGUGUAGUCAAUUCCAAAGGGAACGAUCAAGUAAGAUGGAGCUACAUUCACAGGAGUAGCAUCCACCGGGGCAGUUGAAGAUUUUGACUGAGUGACCUUUUGGCGCUUGGCCUCUCAGGUUUCUGAGGUCAUUGAAGCUUUUCCUUCUUUGCUUCUUUCUCAGCAGCUUUGGUCUUCUUCACGUCUGAUGCAGACGGAAUCAUCUUCUUCACCUUUGAGGGUUGAGGUGAAGGAAUAGUUUCAUCAGGAGUUGGUGCAGAUUCAGUCCUGGCAGUUUCCUCAGCUGGAGCUGUGUCUUCAGCUGGAGCAGUUUCUUUAGCUAGAGUGUCUUGAGGAAUUUUCUUCAGCACCAGGUUCAUCAGUUUCAUCUUCCUCUGUCAACUGAACAGUGUAGCUUGCCUGAGGUGAUGUUUGCUACGUUGGAGGGGUUAUUCUCUUGUUGUAUUCAUCAACAGCAGUAGAUGCAGCCUUGAUGAAAUUCACCUUGACGCCUACACGAUCAGUGAGAAGACUUGUAUACUUGUCUGUUAGUGUUUUGAGUUCAGCUUGAGUUGAUACAAGUGCUUCAGGCGCCAGUUUGAGGAUAUUUUGUGUGAGGAAUUUCUCCUUUUUGAUUUUAGCAGCCUUUGCUUGCUUGGCUUGCUGCUCUUUCCACUUUGCCUCAUUGAUGAAAGUGGCUACCAUGUGGCUUACACCAGGGGGAAGCUUCAAGUCAUCAACAUGAGUGUUUGGAUCUUCAUACCAGAGGUUGAUGAAUUGCAACAGAACCUUCGGGUCCAUGGCAAGAGGAAAAGAGCUGCCUGAGGCUUGAGCAACUUGUUCCUGCUUGUUUCUGGUGAUAGCUUGAAGAGUGUGCUCAUCAAAUUCCUCACUCCCUUCUGAUGCAGAAGGAACGUUGAUGACUUUGCUAGGACUAGGCUUGAUGCCCCUUCCAGCAGUCAUUUUAGUCUUCAAUAGAGGUGGUGAAGACUUUGUAGCUUAACUCAUGGCAGACGGCAUUGAGGAACUUGAUUGAGUAGGCUGAUGCUUAAUGAGCUGCUUCUGUUGAGGCUGUGAGGAUUGUGGUCCUGUUGAAGAUUUUGUCACUGGUGCAGCCUUUUGAGGCAAUUGCUCUUUUGGCACUGAGGCCAUUGGUUUCUUUGGCACGGUCUUCUUCUGAGGAAUGCUGUAGCAGAGGCCUCAGCAGCUGAAGAGGUGGCGGCAGUGGCAGCAGCAGCAGCAGAGUCAUCAUUGAAUUUCUUCACGACAGCUUCUGCCUUCUAUGUAACUUAGACAAAUAUUUGUCUUUCUCAUCAGGGUAAUCCUCAAUAGUUUCAACGCUUGAGGGAU